GAUGAACGCUGGCGGCGUGCUUAACACAUGCAAGUCGAACGGGGUACCCCCAAAGGAGUUUUCGGACAACUGCGGGGAAUACCUAGUGGCGGACGGGUGAGUAACGCGUGAGUAACCUGCCUUGGAGUGGGGAAUAACAGCUGGAAACAGUUGCUAAUACCGCAUAAUGCAGUUGAGUCGCAUGGCUCUGACUGCCAAAGAUUUAUCGCUCUGAGAUGGACUCGCGUCUGAGUAGCUAGUUGGUGGGGCAACGGCCCACCAAGGCGACGAUCAGUAGCCGGACUGAGAGGUUGGCCGGCCACAUUGGGACUGAGACACGGCCCAG
rnacentral:rRNA from 1 species